CACAAAGUCAACAGUGAAAGGAAUGCUAUCCAUCUGACGAGAAAGCAGCAGACAGUACAGCAGACAAAGAUGUUUCACCUGGACAUGAAGGACCACUUGGUGUCACAGCUUUGGAUCAGCUAUCUGCAGCAGAGUCCCAGUCCACUUGGUCACACCACAAGUUGGAAAGUACAGCUACAGCUGAUUCAGUAACCUCUGGAUCCACUCAGGACUUUUUCUCUCACUUAGACAUAAAUUACUCUUCAUUGAAGGCUUGUAUUUGAUCUUGCAGAGUUUCUAUGUGAUCUAUAAUUACCGUGUUUUAUUUUGCUCAUUAUAUUAUGCAUUAAAUAGCACAGAGGUGCAGUCUGACGGGA